rnacentral:rRNA from 1 species
CAGCAGCCGCGGUAAUACAGAGGGUGCGAGCGUUAAUCGGAAUUACUGGGCGUAAAGCGCACGCAGGCGGUCUGUCAAGUCAGAUGUGAAAUCCCCGGGCUUAACCUGGGAACUGCAUUUGAAACUGGCAGGCUAGAGUCUUGUAGAGGGGGGUAGAAUUCCAGGUGUAGCGGUGAAAUGCGUAGAGAUCUGGAGGAAUACCGGUGGCGAAGGCGGCCCCCUGGACAAAGACUGACGCUGAGGUACGAAAGCAUGGGGAGCAAACAGGAUUAGAUACCCCUGUAGUCCCUGUCUCUUAUAC